rnacentral:rRNA from 1 species
UACACGACCGUACCGCAAACCGACACUGGUGCGCGAGAUGAGUAUUCUAAGGCGCUUGAGAGAACUCAGGAGAAGGAACUCGGCAAAUUGACACCGUAACUUCGGAAGAAGGUGUGCCUUUAGUAGGUGAAGUCCCUCGCGGAUGGAGCCCAAUGAGGUUGCAAAAAAUCGGUGGCUGCGACUGUUUAUUAAAAACACAGCACUCUGCAAACACGAAAGUGGACGUAUAGGGUGUGACGCCUGCCCGGUGCUGGAAGAUUAAAUGAUGGGGUGCAAGCUCUUGAUUGAAGUCCCAGUAAACGGCGGCCGUAACAAUAACGGUCCUAAGGUAGCGAAAUUCCUUGUCGGGUAAGUUCCGACCUGCACGAAUGGCGUAACGAUGGCCACACUGUCUCCUCCUGAGACUCAGCGAAGUUGAAAUGUUUGUGAUGAUGCAAUCUCCCCGCGGAAAGACGGAAAGACCCCAUGAACCUUUACUGUAGCUUUGUAUUGGACUUUGAACAGAUCUGUGUAGGAUAGGUGGGAGGCUUUGAAGCAGGGUCGCUAGAUCUUGUGGAGCCAACGUUGAAAUACCACCCUGGUGUGUUUGAGGUUCUAACCUAGGCCCGUAAUCCGGGUUGGGGACAGUGCAUGGUAGGCAGUUUGACUGGGGCGGUCUCCUCCCAAAGUGUAACGGAGGAGUUCGAAGGUACGCUAGUUACGGUCGGACAUCGUGACGAUAGUGCAAUGGCAUAAGCGUGCUUAACUGCGAGACUGACAAGUCGAGCAGAUGCGAAAGCAGGACAUAGUGAUCCGGUGGUUCUGUAUGGAAGGGCCAUCGCUCAACGGAUAAAAGGUACUCUGGGGAUAACAGGCUGAUACCGCCCAAGAGUUCAUAUCGACGGCGGUGUUUGGCACCUCGAUGUCGGCUCAUCUCAUCCUGGGGCUGUAGCCGGUCCCAAGGGUAUGGCUGUUCGCCAUUUAAGAGGUACGUGAGCUGGGUUUAAAACGUCGUGAGACAGUUUGGUCCCUAUCUUCCGUGGGCGCUGCAGAUUUGAGGAAGCCUGCUCCUAGUACGAGAGGACCGGAGUGGACGCACCUCUGGUGUAUCGGUUGUCACGCCAGUGGCAUUGCCGAGUAGCUAUGUGCGGAAGAGAUAACCGCUGAAAGCAUCUAAGCGGGAAACUCGUUUCAAGAUGAGAUCUGCCGGGGCCUUGAGCCCCCUGAAGAGUCGUUCAAGACCAGGACGUUGAUAGGUCGGGUGUGGAAGCGCAGUAAUGCGUUAAGCUAACCGAUACUAAUUGCUCGUGCGGCUUGACC